AGAAAAAGAAGAAGAAAGACAAAAAGAAGAAGAAGAAGAAGGUGAAAAAGGACUCCUCCUCUUCCUCCUCCUCUUCGUCUAGCUCAUCUUCCUCUGAUAGUGAUGACAGGAAGAAAAAGAAGAAAGACAAGAAGAAAAAGAAAGAUAAGAAGAAAGACAAAAAGAAAAA